UGGCUGGCCCUUCCUCCCUCCGGGUGGAGGCCCCAGAUCACUCAGAGUGAGGGGUGCGGAGGACCCUGGGCCCAGGCGGGCUGGGGGCUGUGCGGCAGGCAUCUGGGGACUCCCGGGGUAGGAGCAGUGGGGACCGGGCAGCAGCAGCUGUGCUGGAGGCCUUGGAGGGCCAUCCCUCGCUUGCCCAGGUCCACGACAGCUCCCGAGGGCAGCAGACGGGACCUCAUUGCCAUCUGGGCAGGACACCAAAGUCGACAAGGUAAGUGGCCAUUUUCUUGCACCUACAGGUUUUACCCCAAUUCUGUUCUCGUGCUGCCCCCAUCUUCCUUCCUUGUGCCAAGUAACCCCUCUCCUCCUUUACCCUCCAGGGCCAGGGUCCCUAGUCCCCUCACCACGUGCCUGCCUCUCCCUCCCUCCCUGUCCGCACUGUGGGACGGCUCCAGGCUGUCUCUGGGCUUGUGGGGUGGGCCCAGCACCUCUCGGGGGUCCCGCUAACAAGCCCCUUCUCCCCGCUGACAUCCCUGCUGACGACCUUCCUCUGGGUGUUGCCUCUAGAAACCAGGCGGCCUCGGCUGGCAGCCCGAGGGGCAGGACGCCGGCACAGGGUCCCAGCACCGCUGUCCGCCUCAAGCUGGGGCGGGCACAGGCGCCGGGCUCCCAGACAGACACGCACGUGCCCGUCUUGCCAAUUAGGGCCCGAGGCGCCAUGAGAUGGGCUUGUUAGCACAGCACAGGGGGAGCCAGCACACGGUACGGCUGGUCGAUGGGGGAUGCGCCGCCCGCCUGCAUGGACGGCCCCCCACCUCGAGGAUCAAUGGUCCCCCCACCAUGGGGCUGAGGCGACAGCAGAGGCCCCCUGAGGCUCGGGCCCAGCGGUAGGCAGCCUCCCAGCCCGCAGGUCAGCCCUGGCAGACAAGACUGGACCACGUCCCCGAUUUACAGACACAGAGACCGAGGCUCGGAGACUCUCCUUGGCUGCCCAGCCCCCCUCAGUGAGGCCAGGGUGCACAUUUGGGCUCAGCCAGGGUAAGAGCCUUGCCUACAGUGACGACGGAGUGGGGGCACACUGCUGGCAGGAGCGGGUGGGGGAGGCCUGGGGUGCCCAGGACGCUGGAAGGCAGGACCCCAACCCCCUGGGCACCUUCGACGAGUCUGCCGGCCCCUCUGGGCCUCUCAGCCGCCCCCUGCUGCCCACAGCCUGGAUCUGGGUGCCCAGGGCCCCCGUCCAUCCUGGAGGCUUCGGAGCAGACAUCCAGCUUGAUGCAGAAGGGGUGGGAGGGAAAGGCAACGCCCUCCACCCCCUUUUACAGAGGGAAGAACUAAGGGCCGGACGGGGCCUUUAGCUGCCCAGUGUCACCAGCCAGUGAGCAGAGAUGCUGAGGCCAGAACCCAGUUCAGGGGCAUCAAGUACAUACACAGUGUGGUCACGUUGGACAGCCGUCACCAUCGUCCGUCUCCAGAACUUUCCAUUUUCCCAAAUUGAGACUCUGUCCCCGUUCCAUACGGAUGCCCCUCCCCCUCCCCCAGCCC